rnacentral:rRNA from 1 species
GACGAACGCUGGCGGCGUGCUUAACACAUGCAAGUCGAACGGAAAGGCCUGCUUUCCCUUGUGGAUUGCGGGUACUCGAGUGGCGAACGGGUGAGUAACACGUGAGUGAUCUGCCCCCAACUUGGGUAUAAGCCUGGGAAACUGGGUCUAAUUCCCGAUAGGACUGCAGGGUGGUGCCUGUGGUGGAAAACGAUUUUCUAGUGGUUGGGGAUGAGCUCGCGGCCUAUCAGCUUGUUGGUGGGGUAAUGGCCUACCAAGGCGGCGACGGGUAGCCGGCUGAGGGGGUGGACGGCCACAUUGGGACUGAGAUACGGCCCAGACUCCUACGGGAGGCAGCAGUGGGGAAUAUUGCACAAUGGGCGGAAGCCUGAUGCAGCGACGCCGCGUGGGGGAUGACGGCCUUCGGGUUGUAAACUCCUUUCGACCGCGAGGAAGCCACCUGGUUGGAAGGGUGGUGACGGUAGUGGUAGAAGAAGCACCGGCUAACUACGUG